rnacentral:rRNA from 1 species
GACGAACGCUGGCGGCGUGCCUAACACAUGCAAGUCGAACGGAAAGGCCCUGCUUUUGUGGGGUGCUCGAGUGGCGAACGGGUGAGUAACACGUGAGUAACCUGCCCUUGACUUUGGGAUAACUUCAGGAAACUGGGGCUAAUACCGGAUAGGAGCUCCUGCUGCAUGGUGGGGGUUGGAAAGUUUCGGCGGUUGGGGAUGGACUCGCGGCUUAUCAGCUUGUUGGUGGGGUAGUGGCUUACCAAGGCUUUGACGGGUAGCCGGCCUGAGAGGGUGACCGGCCACAUUGGGACUGAGAUACGGCCCAGACUCCUACGGGAGGCAGCAGUGGGGAAUAUUGCACAAUGGGCGGAAGCCUGAUGCAGCAACGCCGCGUGCGGGAUGACGGCCUUCGGGUUGUAAACCGCUUUCGCCUGUGACGAAGCGUGAGUGACGGUAAUGGGUAAAGAAGCACCGGCUAACUACGUGCCGGCAGCCGCGGUGAUACGUAGGGUGCGAGCGUUGUCCGGAUUUAUUGGGCGUAAAGGGCUCGUAGGUGGUUGAUCGCGUCGGAAGUGUAAUCUUGGGGCUUAACCCUGAGCGUGCUUUCGAUACGGGUUGACUUGAGGAAGGUAGGGGAGAAUGGAAUUCCUGGUGGAGCGGUGGAAUGCGCAGAUAUCAGGAGGAACACCAGUGGCGAAGGCGGUUCUCUGGGCCUUUCCUGACGCUGAGGAGCGAAAGCGUGGGGAGCGAACAGGCUUAGAUACCCUGGUAGUCCACGCUGUAAACGGUGGGUACUAGGUGUGGGGUCCAUUCCACGGGUUCCGUGCCGUAGCUAACGCUUUAAGUACCCCGCCUGGGGAGUACGGCCGCAAGGCUAAAACUCAAAGGAAUUGACGGGGCCCCGCACAAGCGGCGGAGCAUGCGGAUUAAUUCGAUGCAACGCGUAGAACCUUACCUGGGUUUGACAUGGAUCGGGAGCGCUCAGAGAUGGGUGUGCCUCUUUUGGGGUCGGUUCACAGGUGGUGCAUGGCUGUCGUCAGCUCGUGUCGUGAGAUGUUGGGUUAAGUCCCGCAACGAGCGCAACCCUUGUUCACUGUUGCCAGCACGUUAUGGUGGGGACUCAGUGGAGACCGCCGGGGUCAACUCGGAGGAAGGUGGGGAUGACGUCAAGUCAUCAUGCCCCUUAUGUCCAGGGCUUCACGCAUGCUACAAUGGCUGGUACAGAGAGUGGCGAGCCUGUGAGGGUGAGCGAAUCUCGGAAAGCCGGUCUCAGUUCGGAUUGGGGUCUGCAACUCGACCUCAUGAAGUCGGAGUCGCUAGUAAUCGCAGAUCAGCAACGCUGCGGUGAAUACGUUCCCGGG